UACGUAGGGUGCAAGCGUUAAUCGGAAUUACUGGGCGUAAAGCGUGCGCAGGCGGUUGUGCAAGACAGAUGUGAAAUCCCCGGGCUUAACCUGGGAAUUGCAUUUGUGACUGCACGGCUAGAGUGUGUCAGAGGGGGGUAGAAUUCCACGUGUAGCAGUGAAAUGCGUAGAUAUGUGGAGGAAUACCGAUGGCGAAGGCAGCCCCCUGGGAUAACACUGA
rnacentral:rRNA from 1 species